rnacentral:rRNA from 1 species
UUUAUGGAGAGUUUGAUCCUGGCUCAGGAUGAACGCUGGCGGCGUGCCUAAUACAUGCAAGUCGAGCGAACGGACGAGAAGCUUGCUUCUCUGAUGUUAGCGGCGGACGGGUGAGUAACACGUGGAUAACCUACCUAUAAGACUGGGAUAACUUCGGGAAACCGGAGCUAAUACCGGAUAAUAUUUUGAACCGCAUGGUUCAAAAGUGAAAGACGGUCUUGCUGUCACUUAUAGAUGGAUCCGCGCUGCAUUAG